CGACAAAGGGUGAAACCAAUCAGAGAGCAGCACUACUGAAAUAGAACUCCCAGGAGGUAACAGCGUGUCACACAUGUGAUGUCAUAACCAUUGUCCACUAGAGAGCAGCACUGAGCAGAUAUAACACGGCUCCUGCUCAUUCUUCAUCAGUGAGGGGCCGGUGCUGGACACUGUAGGGACCGAGAAUGCAAAGUCAUAUACACUACUGUGACUGAUGCACUAUUUCCAGGAUGUGGAGUAGCAUUUCCGGACCUACAGCAAGACGUUGGAUGAAGACGUAGAUUUCCAGACCUACAGCAAGAAAUUGGAUGAAGGCACAGCCCCUCAAAUCACGCACAUACACAGACACAUUGGCCCAAAUUCUAGAGGUAACCUCCUUUAGUAUGCCCAGAGGAAGGGCAGUACAGUAGCCAUGGAUUCCCUACAGGUUUCCUCCCCUCUGGAGGUUUUUCCUGUCCUGAGUUAGUUACUGUUCGCUCUUUGUGAGUGAUGGAGGUUACAUAAAAUCCCUACACAAACAUUUUAAUAUAUAAUAAAUAAAGUUCCCCUUUUUAAACCAAUCCUUAACUUGUUUGACUCAUUUAUUUUAUUUGUGUGUGAAAAAUAGUGUUAGCAAUAUGGAGAUGACAAGUGUCCAAAGCUGCUCUCCUGCCCGAUCUACAUAAUGCGGUGCGGAGAAAGGCAACUUAUGCCGGGUGGUACAGUUGCCAAGGCAACCAUAGGACACCCAGCAAGUUCCAUGCAUGAGCCUUUUUCUGAUGAACGGGACCCUAGGAGAGCGGAGGAGGCAGCCAAUCAGAGAGCAGCACUACUGAAAUAGAACUCCCAGGAGGUAACAGCGUGUCACACAUGUGAUGUCAUAACCAUUGUCCACUAGAGAGCAGCACUGAGCAGAUAUAACACUGCUCCUGCUCAUUCUUCAUCAGUGAGGGGCCGGUGCUGGACACUGUAGGGACCGAGAAUGCAAAGUCAUAUACACUACUGUGACUGAUGCACUAUUUCCAGGAUGUGGAGUAGCAUUUCCGGACCUACAGCAAGAAGUUGGAUGAAGACGUAGAUUUCCAGACCUACAGCAAGAAAUUGGAUGAAGGCACAGCCCCUCAAAUCACGCACAUACACAGACACAUUGGCCCAAAUUCUAGAGGUAACCUCCUUUAGUAUGCCCAGAGGAAGGGCAGUACAGUAGCCAUGGAUUCCCUACAGGUUUCCUCCCCUCUGGAGGUUUUUCCUGUCCUGAGUUAGUUACUGUUCGCUCUUUGUGAGUGAUGGAGGUUACAUAAAAUCCCUACACAAACAUUUUAAUAUAUAAUAAAUAAAGUUCCCCUUUUUAAACCAUUCUUUAAUUUGUU